rnacentral:rRNA from 2 species
CAGGUGCUGCAUGGCUGUCGUCAGCUCGUGUUGUGAAAUGUUGGGUUAAGUCCCGCAACGAGCGCAACCCUUAUCCUUUGUUGCCAGCGAUUAGGUCGGGAACUCAAAGGAGACUGCCAGUGAUAAACUGGAGGAAGGUGGGGAUGACGUCAAGUCAUCAUGGCCCUUACGACCAGGGCUACACACGUGCUACAAUGGCGCAUACAAAGAGAAGCGACCUCGCGAGAGCAAGCGGACCUCAUAAAGUGCGUCGUAGUCCGGAUUGGAGUCUGCAACUCGACUCCAUGAAGUCGGAAUCGCUAGUAAUCGUGGAUCAGAAUGCCACGGUGAAUACGUUCCCGGGCCUUGUACACACCGCCCGUCACACCAUGGGAGUGGGUUGCAAAAGAAGUAGGUAGCUUAACCUUCGGGAGGGCGCUUACCACUUUGUGAUUCAUGACUGGGGUGAAGUCGUAACAAGGUAACCGUAGGGGAACCUG